UACGAAGGGGGCUAGCGUUGCUCGGAAUCACUGGGCGUAAAGCGCACGUAGGCGGCUUUCUAAGUCAGGGGUGAAAUCCUGGAGCUCAACUCCAGAACUGCCUUUGAUACUGGAGAGCUUGAGUCCGGGAGAGGUGAGUGGAACUCCGAGUGUAGAGGUGAAAUUCGUAGAUAUUCGGAAGAACACCAGUGGCGAAGGCGGCUCAC
rnacentral:rRNA from 1 species